UAGAACAAUGUGAUCCAAAGCUCGGGAUUUCCUGUGUAUGUCGGAGAAGGCAGACGGUAGACCCAGAGUUUCCUAGGAACGCCCUGCUUUGGGAGGGCAGGACUCGCCUGUGCUGUUUGACGACCUCCAGCCUCUGGGAGCUGUCGAGAUGCCCCACAGCCCCAGUCAAUUGUUUGAGGCUGUGUGAGAACUGCUGAGAUGCUCCAGGAUUCCUGCCCCUCAGAAACUGUAUGAGGUGGGCCUCAUCCAAUCAGUUGAAGACCCUAAUAGGAAAAAGACUGACCUCCUUGAAGAAGAGGAAAUUCUGCCAGGAGGCAACCUUUGCACAUGAAUGAGAGUUCUUCUCUGGAUCCUCAGUCUGUUGGCCUAAUCUGAAGAUUUGUGGACUUGGCAGCUUCCACAAUCAAGUGCUGGUGCUUGAUGCUUUUUGAUAGUAAAUGAGAGAAAACCCAAGAAAAAAAUGUUCAUUGUGCAUUAAGUCAUCUGUGGUUUAUGAGCAUUUGAGGAAGACCAUGAGUGUGAUCAAGUGCAUGUUUUACGACAGAAGAUUUAUCAGAAUCUCCUUUCAAACUCGGGAGCCAGUCUAAGUUGACUUCUCUUGGCAAAAACCUGUGGUGCAGCUGGAAGACUCGGGAGUUUGAGUAGUGACCGAUACACUUCAGGAGAAUUUAGCUGCAGGCCGAGUGCUUAAUGCUGGGAAAAUAGUCCUUGACUUCUGAAUGCAUCUGAGUGUUGCUGAGAGCCAAAUGUGUGGGGUAGGACCCCUUGUGAAUCGAAACAUCACGAACGAUUUAUAUUAAUUCCCAGAAAACCAAAUAUAUUGAGAUUCAUGCAGCUCUAAUUGAAAUGUAAUAACUGUUUACAGAUUUGACUGCACCAUCACCACAGAGUAAUUGCUUUUCCACACCAAGCAGGUAAGAGAUGAAGUAAAUGUGCCCAGAAGAGUUUGGAAAUCCAAUGAAAUGUUUCUAAGAAUAUGGUUAUACAUGGUGUCUUCCCUGUUGCAAAGCUCAGUCAGAGCUCAGUCUCCACAGAGUCAAG